rnacentral:rRNA from 1 species
GACGAACGCUGGCGGCGUGCCUAAUACAUGCAAGUUGAGCGCUGAAGGUUGGUACUUGUACCAACUGGAUGAGCAGCGAACGGGUGAGUAACGCGUGGGGAAUCUGCCUUUGAGCGGGGGACAUCAUUUGGAAACGAAUGCUAAUACCGCAUAAAAACUUUAAACACAAGUUUUAAGUUUGAAAGAUGCAGUUGCAUCACUCAAAGAUGAUCCCGCGUUGUAUUAGCUAGUUGGUGAGGUAAAGGCUCACCAAGGCGAUGAUACAUAGCCGACCUGAGAGGGUGAUCGGCCACAUUGGGACUGAGACACGGCCCAAACUCCUACGGGAGGCAGCAGUAGGGAAUCUUCGGCAAUGGACGAAAGUCUGACCGAGCAACGCCGCGUGAGUGAAGAAGGUUUUCGGAUCGUAAAACUCUGUUGGUAGAGAAGAACGUUGGUGAGAGUGGAAAGCUCAUCAAGUGACGGUAACUACCCAGAAAGGGACGGCUAACUACGUG